UGGGGAAUCUUGGACAAUGGGGGCAACCCUGAUCCAGCGACGCCGCGUGGGUGGUAAGGCCUUCGGGUUGUAAAGCCCUUUCACCGGGGAAGAUGUUGACAUUACCCGGAGAAGAAGCGCCGGCUAACUCCGUGCCAGCAGCCGCGGUAAGACGGAGGGCGCUAGCGUUGUUCGGAAUCACUGGGCGUAAAGGGCGCGUAGGCGGCUGUUCAAGUCGAGGGUGAAAGCCCGGGGCUCAACCCCGGAACGGACUUCGAGACUGGGCAGCUCGUGACCGGAAGAGGAGGGUGGAAUAUCCAUUGUAGAGGUGAAAUUCGUAGAUAUUGGGUGGAACAACAGUGGCGAAAGCGGCGCUCUGGUCCGGAUCUGACGCUGAGGCGCGAAAGCGUGGGGAGCAAACAGGAUUAGAUACCCGUGUAGUCC
rnacentral:rRNA from 1 species